AACGAACGCUGGCGGCAGGCUUAACACAUGCAAGUCGAACGAACAUAGCAAUAUGUUAGUGGCAGACGGGUGAGUAACGCGUGGGAAUGUGCCCUAUGGUUUGGAAUAACUCAGGGAAACUUGAGCUAAUACCGGAUAAUCCCGAGAGGGGAAAGAUUUAUCGCCAUUGGAGCAGCCCGCGUCUGAUUAGCUAGUUGGUGAGGUAAUGGCUCACCAAGGCGACGAUCAGUAGCUGGUCUGAGAGGAUGAUCAGCCACACUGGGACUGAGACACGGCCCAGACUCCUACGGGAGGCAGCAGUGGGGAAUAUUGGACAAUGGGGGCAACCCUGAUCCAGCCAUGCCGCGUGAGUGAUGAAGGCCUUAGGGUUGUAAAACUCUUUUAUCCGGGAAGAUAAUGACUGUACCGGAAGAAUAAGCCCCGGCUAACUUCGUGCCAGCCGCCGCCGUAAGAC
rnacentral:rRNA from 1 species